UNGGAAUUACUGGGCGUAAAGCGGGCGCAGACGGUUACUUAAGCAGGAUGUGAANUCCCCGGGCUCAACCUGGGAACUGCGUUCUGAACUGGGUGACUAGAGUGUGUCAGAGGGAGGUAGAAUUNCACGUGUAGCAGUGAAAUGCGUAGAGAUGUGGAGGAAUACCGAUGGCGAAGGCAGCNUCCUGGGAUAACACUGACGUUCAUGCCCGAAAGCGUGGGUAGCAAACAGGAUUAGAUACCCUGGUAGUCCACGCCCUAAACGAUGUCGAUUAGCUGUUGGGCAGCAUGACUGCUUAGUAGCGAAGCUAACGCGUGAAAUCGACCGCCUGGGGAGUACGGUCGCAAGAUUAAAACUCAAAGGAAUUGACGGGGACCCGCACAAGCGGUGGAUGAUGUGGAUUAAUUCGAUGCAACGCGAAGAACCUUACCUGGUCUUGACAUGUACGGAACCCUCCAGAGACGGAGGAGUGCCUUCGGGAGCCGUAACACAGGUGCUGCAUGGCUGUCGUCAGCUCGUGUCGUGAGAUGUUGGGUUAAGUCCCGCAACGAGCGCAACCCUUGUCAUUAGUUGCCAUCAUUAAGUUGGGCACUCUAAUGAGACUGCCGGUGACAAGCCGGAGGAAGGUGGGGAUGACGUCAAGUCCUCAUGGCCCUUAUGACCAGGGCUUCACACGUCAUACAAUGGUCGGUACAGAGGGUAGCCAAGCCGCGAGGCGGAGCCAAUCUCACAAAACUGAUCGUAGUCCGGAUUGCACUCUGCAACUCGAGUGCAUGAAGUCGGAAUCGCUAGUAAUCGCAGGUCAGCAUACUGCGGUGAAUACGUUCCCGGGUCUUGUACACACCGCCCGUCACACCAUGGGAGUGGGGGAUACCAGAAGUAGGUAGGGUA
rnacentral:rRNA from 1 species